AACGAACGCUGGCGGCAUGCCUAACACAUGCAAGUCGAACGAGACCUUCGGGUCUAGUGGCGCACGGGUGCGUAACGCGUGGGAACCUGCCCUUAGGUUCGGAAUAACUCCCCGAAAGGGGUGCUAAUACCGGAUAAUGUCUUCGGACCAAAGAUUUAUCGCCUUUGGAUGGGCCCGCGUUGGAUUAGCUAGUUGGUAGGGUAAAAGCCUACCAAGGCGACGAUCCAUAGCUGGUCUGAGAGGAUGAUCAGCCACACUGGGACAGAGACACGGCCCAGACUCCUACGGGAGGCAGCAGUGGGGAAUAUUGGACAAUGGGCGAAAGCCUGAUCCAGCAAUGCCGCGUGAGUGAUGAAGGCCUUAGGGUUGUAAAGCUCUUUUACCCGGGAUGAUAAUGACAGUACCGGGAGAAUAAGCUCCGGCUAACUCCGUG
rnacentral:rRNA from 1 species